rnacentral:misc_RNA from 1 species
AACGCACCUUGCGCUCCUUGGUAUUCCGAGGAGCAUGCCUGUUUGAGUGUCAUUUAAUUCUCAACCUUACGAAUUUAUUUUUAUUCGAAAGGCUUGGAUGUGAGGGUUUUUGCUGGCUUUAUUUUAAAGUCAACUCCCUUGAAAUGCAUUAGCAAGUGAUCAGACUUUGUCUAUUGGUGUGAUAACUAUCUACGCCAUUGGAUUGUCUUGUAUUUCACUGCUUCCAAUUUAAAGUUGUCUUUCGACAAUUCUAUUUGACCAUUUGACCUCAAAUCAGGUAGGACUACCCGCUGAACUUAA